rnacentral:rRNA from 1 species
GAUGAACGCUGGCGGCGUGCCUAAUACAUGCAAGUCGAGCGAACAGAUAAGGAGCUUGUUCCUUUGACGUUAGCGGCGGACGGGUGAGUAACACGUGGGUAACCUACCUAUAAGACUGGAAUAACUCCGGGAAACCGGGGCUAAUGCCGGAUAACAUUUAGAACCGCAUGGUUCUAAAGUGAAAGAUGGUUUUGCUAUCACUUAUAGAUGGACCCGCGCCGUAUUAGCUAGUUGGUAAGGUAACGGCUUACCAAGGCAACGAUACGUAGCCGACCUGAGAGGGUGAUCGGCCACACUGGAACUGAGACACGGUCCAGACUCCUACGGGAGGCAGCAGUAGGGAAUCUUCCGCAAUGGGCGAAAGCCUGACGGAGCAACGCCGCGUGAGUGAUGAAGGUCUUCGGAUCGUAAAACUCUGUUAUUAGGGAAGAACAAAUGUGUAAGUAACUGUGCACGUCUUGACGGUACCUAAUCAGAAAGCCACGGCUAACUACGUG